rnacentral:rRNA from 1 species
CNAUUANANCNCAUGGCUCAUUAUAUAANUUAUCGUUUAUUUUAUUACCUUACUACAUGGAUAACCGUGGUAAUUCUAGAGCUAAUACAUGCUGAAAAUCCCGACUUCGGAAGGGAUGUAUUUAUUAUAUUCAAAACCAAUGCCCUUCGGGGCUCCCAUGGUGAUUCAUGAUAACUUCUCGAAUCCCACGGCCCCGCCCCGGCGAUGGUUCAUUCAAAUUUCUUCCCUAUCACCUUUCNAUGCUACGGUAGUGUCCUACCAUGGUUGCAACGGGUAACGGGGAAUAAAANA